GUUAUAUAAUUUAAAAAAAAUAUUAACUUUGUAAGUUAAAUUUAAAUAAUUUUUAUAACU
rnacentral:tRNA from 1 species